GACGAACGCUGGCGGCGUGCCUAAUACAUGCAAGUCGAGCGGACGGAUGGGAGCUUGCUCCCAGACCGUCAGCGGCGGACGGGUGAGUAACACGUGGGCAACCUGCCUGUAAGACUGGGAUAACUCCGGGAAACCGGGGCUAAUACCGGAUAACUCUUUCCCUCACAUGAGGGAAAGCUGAAAGAUGGCAUCUCGCUAUCACUCACAGAUGGGCCCGCGGCGCAUUAGCUAGUUGGUGAGGUAACGGCUCACCAAGGCGACGAUGCGUAGCCGACCUGAGAGGGUGAUCGGCCACACUGGGACUGAGACACGGCCCAGACUCCCACGGGAGGCAGCAGUAGGGAAUCUUCCGCAAUGGACGAAAGUCUGACGGAGCAACGCCGCGUGAGUGAUGAAGGUUUUCGGAUCGUAAAACUCUGUUGUCAGGGAAGAACAAGUACCGGAGUAACUGCCGGUACCUUGACGGUACCUGACCAGAAAGCCACGGCUAACUACGUG
rnacentral:rRNA from 1 species